rnacentral:tRNA from 274 species
GCCGCUUUAGCUCAGUUGGUAGAGCACAUCAUUCGUAAUGAUGGGGUCAGGUGUUCGAGUCACCUAAGCGGCACCA